rnacentral:rRNA from 1 species
AGAGUUUGAUCCUGGCUCAGGAUGAACGCUGGCGGCGUGCCUAAUACAUGCAAGUCGGACGAGGGUUAUUGUCGUAAGAUGAUAAUUCCUAGUGGCGAACGAGUGAGUAACACGUAGGUGACCUGCCCCGGAGAGGGGGAUAACGGCUCGAAAGGGCUGCUAAUACCCCAUUCUGCUCACAGAGGUUAGAGGCUCAGUGAGGAAAGGUGAAGACGCUCCGGGAGGGGCCUGCGGCCCAUCAGGUAGUUGGUGAGGUAACGGCUCACCAAGCCGAAGACGGGUAGGGGGCCUGAGAGGGUGGUCCCCCACACGGGCACUGAGAUACGGGCCCGACUCCUACGGGAGGCAGCAGUAAGGGAUAUUGCGCAAUGGGCGAAAGCCUGACGCAGCAACGCCGCGUGCCCGAGGAAGGCCUUCGGGUCGUAAAGGGCUUUUAGGGCUGAAGAGCAAGGACGGUAAGCCCGGAAGAAGUGUCGGCUAACUACGUGCCAGCAGCCGCGGUAAAACGUAGGACGCAAGCGUUAUCCGGAGUUACUGGGCGUAAAGGGCAGGCAGGCGGGCUGGUAAGUUGGAUGUGAAAUCUCUCUGGCUUAACCGGGAGGGUGCAUCUGAGACUGUCAGCCUGGAGGGCAGCAGAGGAGCGUGGAAUUCCGGGUGGAGUGGUGAAAUGCGUAGAGAUCCGGAGGAACACCAGAGGCGAAAGCGGGGCUCUGGGCUGCACCUGACGCUGAACUGCGAAAGCCAGGGGAGCGAACGGGAUUAGAAACCCCGGUAGUCCUGGCCGUAAACGAUGCCAACUG